rnacentral:rRNA from 1 species
GAGAGCUACGGGCCGGCAGGCGGGGUGAGAGGUUGGGGGCGAGCUGUGUCCGGAAUUAUUGGGCGUAGAGCGCUUGUAGGGGGUUUGUCGCGUCUGCUGUGAAAAUCCGGGGCUCAACCCCGGACUUGCAGUGGGUACGGGCAGACUAGAGUAUGGUAGGGGAGACUGGAAUUCCUGGUGUAGCGGUGAAAUGCGCAGAUAUCAGGAGGAACACCGAUGGCGAAGGCAGGUCUCUGGGCCACUACUGACGCUGAGAAGCGAAAGCAUGGGGAGCGAACAGGAUUAGAUACCCGGGUAGUC